GAUGAACGCUGGCGGCGUGCCUAAUACAUGCAAGUCGAGCGAACAGACGAGGAGCUUGCUCCUCUGACGUUAGCGGCGGACGGGUGAGUAACACGUGGAUAACCUACCUAUAAGACUGGGAUAACUUCGUGAAACCGGAGCUAAUACCGGAUAAUAUAUUGAACCGCAUGGUUCAAUAGUUAAGGACGGUUUUUCUGUCACUUAUCGAUGGAUCCGCGCGGCAUUAACUAGUUGGUAAGGUAACGGGUUACCCAGGCGACGAUGCGUAGCCGACCUGAGAGGGUGAUCGGCCACACUGGCACUGAGACACGGCACAGACUCCUACGGGGGGCAGCAGUAGGGAAUCUUCCGCAAUGGGGGAAAGCCUGACGGAGCAACGCCGCGUGAGUGAUGAAGGUCUUCGGAUCGUAAAACUCUGUUAUUAGGGAAGAACAAAUGUGUAAGUAACUAUGCACGUCUUGACGGUACCUAAUCAGAAAGCCACGACUAACUACGUG
rnacentral:rRNA from 1 species